UACGGAGGUGGCGAGCGUUGCUCGGAUUUAUUGGGUGUAAAGGGUCUGUAGGCGGUUUUGCAAGUCGGAUGUGAAAUCCCACUGCUCAACAGUGGAACUGCAUUUGAAACUGCAAGGCUAGAGUCAGGGAGAGGAGAGGGGAAUUCCCGGUGUAAGGGUGAAAUCUGUAGAGAUCGGGAGGAACACCAGUGGCGAAGGCGGCUCUCUGGCCCAUGACUGACGCUGAGCGACGAAAGCUAGGGGAGCAAACGGG
rnacentral:rRNA from 1 species